rnacentral:rRNA from 1 species
UACGGGGGGAGCAAACGUUGUUCGGAUUUACUGGGCGUAAAGGGCGCGUAGGCGGCCACCGCAAGUCGGUUGUGAAAUCUCUGGGCUUAACCCAGAAAGGUCAACCGAUACUGCGGGGCUAGAGUGCAGAAGGGGCAACUGGAAUUCUCGGUGUAGCGGUGAAAUGCGUAGAUAUCGAGAGGAACACCUGCGGCGAAGGCGGGUUGCUGGGCUGACACUGACGCUGAUGCGCGAAAGCCAGGGGAGCGAACGGG